CAGCCGCCGCGGUAAAACAGAGGGUGCGAGCGUUAAUCGGAUUUACUGGGCGUAAAGCGUGCGUAGGCGGCUAAUUGAGUCGGAUGUGAAAUCCCCGAGCUUAACUUGGGAAUUGCAUUCGAUACUGGUUAGCUAGAGUGUGGGAGAGGAUGGUAGAAUUCCAGGUGUAGCGGUGAAAUGCGUAGAGAUCUGGAGGAAUACCGAUGGCGAAGGCAGCCAUCUGGCCUAACACUGACGCUGAGGUACGAAAGCAUGGGGAGCAAACAGGAUUAGAUACCCCAGUAGUCCCUGUCUCUUAUACACA
rnacentral:rRNA from 1 species